rnacentral:lncRNA from 1 species
CCCCACUCCUGCCUCUCCUUUUACUUGGAGGCUGGGAUUGCUCUUCAUUUGGGGCUUCCUGCUACAUGGCAGGGUGGAAAGAGUUUGCCUUUGGUUUGGGAUGAGAUGCCUGUCAGGGAGGGUAAGGCCCAUAUGACCCCAGGCUAAAUGGAGGGUUGGAUGUCCCCCUUCUGUGGAGAGGCUGGGGCUUUGGUGGGUGGAAAGUAAGGGAGAAAUCAGCUCUGAAGGACAAAUGUUCUAACAGAGCCCUGCAUCUGUAAAAGGUGGGAGGCGCUCCCAGAAAUGGCUCUAGGGAGUAUUCUAGGGGAAGGUGGGGGCCAUGUGCCCCAGGCUGCUGGAGGAGGCUCUGUCCUGAGGAACUUGGGCUCCUGACAUCGACAGCUUCCUCAGAUUCUAGGAGGCUGUGAAUUAGUGCCAGAAGCAGAGUCCUGGAUGGUCUAGCUGUCGUCUGGCCGCCAUGUGCGUCUGUGUGCCUGUGUGUGUGCCUGCGUGUGUUUCUGCCCUCCAGGUAAGUUUUAAGCUUGUUGCUCCUUAGUCCUGAAUCCCCACCUGUCCUGAGGAUGGAAACUGGGAAUGCCACCGAUCCUGGCCGUGAGUUCAAUGCGAAGCCAGUGGAAGAAAUGCUGGCACCACCAGACGUACACACAGCCAGACACCACAGGGACAGGGCCGAGCAGAAAGCCAGGCCCGCGAGGUCUGAAGGGCUCAGCAGUGGAGCGGCAAAGGGCAGAGGAGCGGUGUUGGCUGUUUUGUCUCUGCCCUGAAACUCCCCAUGGCUCCUUGGACACCAGGAUGGCAACUCUGAAAAUGGCCCAGAUGGUCAGGAGGCUCCCCAGGAGCAAGUGAGGGGCAGAUAGCCCAGAGUGGGAAAGAAGGAGGUGCGGUGGCCCCAGACCACUGCUGGCUCAUGUCAGAGGCUUGGGGACAAAGUUAGGAGAUAAAGGCAGACUCCAGAGAAAGGGCACCUCCUCUGGGGGGGCGCAGGAGGCCCCUCUGGCUGUGCUCAAGUGUAGCACAUGAUGUGAGGGAGCUCAAGACCACUUUAAGUGGUAAGCAGUGUGUGUGGUGUGUGUGUGUGUGUGUGUGUGUGUAGAGAUGCUCAUUUGGUUUGUGUAGUCAUUAGCCCAAAUACUGAAGCCCUUGAGCCCUCCUGUUCUGCAUCCAUCACAGGGCCCCUGGUGGGAAGUGGGAAGUGACCCUCAUGGGUUCCUGGGAGCAUUCCAAGGCCCAUCAGUCUGUGUGGGAAGGGAGAAGGGGGAGAGGAUUCUUCAGGUGCCUGCGGGGAUGGCCUUAGCCUCAGGGUCUCCCAGCUUAGCAUACUCACCUCAGGUUCAGUUUCCCACCUACUGCCCUUUCCCUUGGGCCAGCUUCAUCUCCUGACUUUGUCCCCCAGGCCUCUGACAUGACCAUAGCAGGUGGUCAUCAUUGACCUUGAAAUUGGGCCAAGGUGACUGCUGUUGUGCCACCCUGGACUCCGAGCACACUGGAGUUCCCUGGGCCAGCUACACGGGGGUCCUGUCAUCAUGUGGACUCUCAGCCCUUGUCACUGUCUGUGUCCUGGCAGCAACUCUGUCUCUGCACUCCACAAUGCAGCCCUCCUGAACCGACAGAUUUGAGGACUUUCUUGCUCAGAAGCCUUGAGCAGGGGCCAGCCGCAGUGCUGUCAGCUGACAGCAGCAGCCUUGUGUCUGUGCUGCAGUCAGCUCCGCAUCUGAGAGCUGUCGGGGCUCCACGCCUGGGCCUGAGCUGCGCUCGCUCUCCCCAGGACCAGGAGGGCCUUCUCAAGGGUGGAGGUCUUUCUGCAAAGAGGUGGGUCAGCUGCACAUGCAAGGCAAUCCUGGGUGGGGGAGGGCUGCUGCUGGGAGCACCUCCCUUCCCAGCACGCCACUCGCACACAGUGCUGGAUGGCUCACAGUCUGCACAGCCCUGUGUUCAGGCUGCCUGGUGUCACCUGCCUCACCUCAGCCAGACACCUGAGUACGGUGGCCAGGGCGGGUAGCAACAAAGGGCAGGGAACAGGAAAGCAGCUGGUUUCCAAGUGUCUAGUCACAGGUGGCCCUGAUAAGCUGCUGCCAUGGGCCAGACCUGGCCCGGGAGCCGGGGUGAAUGAAAUGCUCAUGAUGCUCAUGACACCCGGCUUCCUCUCGUGGCCAUCAGGUGCGCACGGGCGGCGCUGCCUCUUAGCUUCUCUCUCUUACCAUGCUUCUUUCUGGGCCAUCUGCAAGAAGUUCUAUGGGGAUUUCCCUGAAUUUUAAACAUGAGCAUGUGACCCCAGAAUCCAUGCUGGCUGAUGUCAUUCCAGGGCCGAGUUCUUCUGUUUUUUAGCACAUGUGGUGGAUUCUAUGAGAAUUUUCCAAGAGCCCUUGGCGGCUUGGCCUUUUUCUACUGGUGGGGAAACAAAUUAAACCCAAUUAGCUCUUCGCCUUUGG